CACGAAGGGGGCUAGCGUUGCUCGGAAUCACUGGGCGUAAAGGGUGCGUAGGCGGGUCUUUAAGUCAGGGGUGAAAUCCUGGAGCUCAACUCCAGAACUGCCUUUGAUACUGAGGAUCUUGAGUUCGGGAGAGGUGAGUGGAACUGCGAGUGUAGAGGUGAAAUUCGUAGAUAUUCGCAAGAACACCAGUGGCGAAGGCGGCUCACUGGCCCGAUACUGACGCUGAGGCACGAAAGCGUGGGGAGCAAACGGG
rnacentral:rRNA from 1 species